AGGGUUUGAUCAUGGCUCAGCCUGAACGCUGGCGGCGUGGUUAAGACAUGCAAGUCGCACGGACGCAGCAAUGCGUUAGUGGCGAACGGGUGAGUAAUGAAUCGCUAAUGUACCCCGGACUCCGGGAUAGCUGCCCGAAAGGGCAGGUAAUACCGGAUGACAUGACCGCACGGCAUCGUGUGGUUCUCAAAGGUCCGCCGGUCUGGGCGCAGGCGAUUUCGUAUCAGCUAGUUGGUGAGGUAACGGCUCACCAAGGCGACGACGCGUAGCCGGACUGAGUGGUUGGCCGGCCACAUCGGGACUGAGACACUGCCCGGACUCCUACGGGGGGCUGCAGUAACGAAUCUUCCCCAAUGCACGAAAGUGUGAGGGAGCGACGCCGCGUGUGGGACGAAGUCCUUCGGGAUGUAAACCACUGUCAGGGGAUACCAAGUUCUGAGGAUCCCCAGAGGAAGAGGCGGCUAACUCUGUGCCAGCAGCCGCGGUAAGACAGAGGCCUCAAGCGUUAGGCGGAAUCACUGGGCUU
rnacentral:rRNA from 1 species